CCUACGGGUGGCAGCAGUGAGGAAUAUUGGUCAAUGGACGAGAGUCUGAACCAGCCAAGUAGCGUGAAGGAUGACUGCCCUAUGGGUUGUAAACUUCUUUUAUAUGGGAAUAAAAUGUUCCACGUGUGGGAUUUUGUAUGUACCAUAUGAAUAAGGAACGGCUAACUCCGUGCCAGCAGCCGCGGUAAUACGGAGGAGCCGAGCGUUAUCCGGCUUUAUUGGGUUUAAAGGGAGCGUAGGUGGAUUGUUAAGUCAGUUGUGAAAGUUUGCGGCUCAACCGUAAAAUUGCAGUUGAAACUGGCAGUCUUGAGUGCAGUAGAGGUGGGCGGAAUUCGUGGUGUAGCGGUGAAAUGCGUAGAUAUCACGAAGAACUCCGAUUGCGAAGGCAGUUCACUGGACUGCAACUGACACUGAGGCUCGAAAGUGUGGGUAUCAAACAGGAUUAGAUACCCGGGUAGUC
rnacentral:rRNA from 1 species